UUUCUUCGGAGAGUUUGAUCCUGGCUCAGGAUGAACGCUGGCGGCGUGCCUAAUACAUGCAAGUCGAGCGAACUGAUUAGAAGCUUGCUUCUAUGACGUUAGCGGCGGACGGGUGAGUAACACGUGGGCAACCUGCCUGUAAGACUGGGAUAACUUCGGGAAACCGAAGCUAAUACCGGAUAGGAUCUUCUCCUUCAUGGGAGAUGAUUGAAAGAUGGUUUCGGCUAUCACUUACAGAUGGGCCCGCGGUGCAUUAGCUAGUUGGUGAGGUAACGGCUCA
rnacentral:rRNA from 1 species